rnacentral:lncRNA from 1 species
GGUUGGAUGCAUGAUAUUGCCGGUAUUUAAAAAUUUCUAUCUUACAGACAUCCACAAGAGUUAUACUGACAAACAUGUUAAAGUCUCAAGUGUUGGUGCUUAAAGGAAAAACCAAAGGUUUUGGAUAAUAUAGCAUAAAGCUUUGCAAAGUAUUUUAAAUUAGAGUUUAUGAUUUUAAAGCAUCCCCUGAUGGUGCAAAAUGUCAACAUUAUAUGAUGAGUAUUGACCAAAUGGUGAACAACAAACAUCACUCUAAACAUAAAGUGAGUGAAUCCAUGCAUGUAUGC